UACGGAGGGAGCUAGCGUUGUUCGGAAUUACUGGGCGUAAAGCGCACGUAGGCGGCUUUGUAAGUUAGAGGUGAAAGCCUGGAGCUCAACUCCAGAAUUGCCUUUAAGACUGCAUCGCUUGAAUCAUGGAGAGGCGGGUGGAAUUCCGAGUGUAGAGGUGAAAUUCGUAGAUAUUCGGAAGAACACCAGUGGCGAAGGCGCCCGCUGGACAUGUAUUGACGCUGAGGUGCGAAAGCGUGGGGAGCAAACAGG
rnacentral:rRNA from 1 species